CAGUAGCGCAUUAGAUAGUGCGUUGGACUUCUAAUCCAAAGGUCGGGGGUUCGAAUGCUACCAGCAUGG